GUUGUCUUUAGCCACAGAGGCUAACCAUAUAAGCAGUAGAUUGUGUCCUUCCAGAGGAGGAAAUCUACUUCUAGACUUCUAGAAUCAGCAUCUCCUCAUCCAUGGUGUCAUCGGGGUGAAAUGACGUCUAAAAACCUUUCACUUGUUCGUCUCCGCCCGUUUGCAUGGUGUGAAAUACGAUCCUCCUGAAACACGGAGUGUUUUAUUUUGAAAAGAAGUCGGAUGUUUUAUUUUGUGUCUGUGCCCGACUUCCUUUCCAGCACGGGUUAAUCUGUGCUGAAUCUAUCCGCCAUGCUCCGGCGUCCAGAAAUAAUAGAACUCUUGUGAUCAGCUGAGGAGUCCAGCGAUCGGCAGAGGAACGGAAAGAAGUCGGUGGAAAUCGACACGUUAACUUGAAUGGUUA
rnacentral:lncRNA from 1 species